rnacentral:rRNA from 1 species
UAAAUCACAAUGCGGAACAAUGUUUUGCAAUUGGAUUGAGAACAACGUACAAACCUUAUCGAUAAACAAUUGGAGGGCAAGUCUGGUGCCAGCAGCCGCGGUAAUUCCAGCUCCAAUAGCGUAUAUUAACGUUGUUGCAGUUAAAAAGCUCGUAGUUGAAAUGAAGGGUAGUUGUGUAAUGAAUACAUUCGUGUAUUUUGUUAUUCUACUACCCUCCUUCUAAAUUCGAUAUAUGAGUAUUAAUUUACUUGUAUAUGGUUUUAGACGUUUACUGUGAGAAAAUUAGAGUGUUCAAAGCAGGCAUUUGCUUGAAUAUAUUAGCAUGGAAUAAUCAUGUAUGAUUUUCAUGAUGUAUUUGAUUGGUUUGGUUCAUGAGAAUAAGAUUAAAAGGGACAGUUGGGGGUAUUCAUAUUCAAUAGUCAGAGGUGAAAUUCUCG